rnacentral:rRNA from 1 species
UGUUGUUUUCUCGAAAAUCAAUUAAAAAAGGCAGGAUUUUGUGCUGUAUUGACUUUAUCAGCUUUCUGCACUCUUUUCUUGUCUUUUUUAAUGCACUUUUCGUUUAACAAGUCAACAUCAAUUUCUUUUGUUGUAAAAGGGUCAUUGGAAGGUGGCUUUCCUUUCGGAGAAAGUGUUUAUAGCCUUUGGCCUCUGCAAUCGGAGAGAUUGAGGUCUGCAGCGUAGAUCCUUCGGGGUUAGAUACAUUCGUGCUAAGUUAUAGCCUUUCAUAGACAACUUGUUGACUAUGAUCAGUCAUGUAGCUUGCUCGCUUAUGCUAUUUUACCUAC